GACGUAGGGCGCGAGCGUUGUCCGGAUUUAUUGGGCGUAAAGAGCUCGUAGGCGGCUUGUUGCGUCGUCCGUGAAAACUUGUGGCUUAACCACAGGCUGGCGGUCGAUACGGGCAGGCUGGAGUUCGGUAGGGGAGACUGGAAUUCCUGGUGUAGCGGUGAAAUGCGCAGAUAUCAGGAGGAACACCGGUGGCGAAGGCGGGUCUCUGGGCCGAUACUGACGCUGAGGAGCGAAAGCGUGGGGAGCGAACAGG
rnacentral:rRNA from 1 species